GGGAUUGUAGUUCAAUUGAUCAGAUCAUUGUCCUGUUAAGACGGAAGCUACAAGUUCGAGUCUUGUUAAUCCGGACA